rnacentral:rRNA from 1 species
UACGAAGGGGGCUAGCGUUGCUCGGAAUCACUGGGCGUAAAGGGUGCGUAGGCGGAUCUUUAAGUCGGGGGUGAAAUCCCGGGGCUCAACCCCGGAACUGCCUUCGAUACUGAGGAUCUUGAGUCCGGGAGAGGUGAGUGGAACUGCGAGUGUAGAGGUGAAAUUCGUAGAUAUUCGCAAGAACACCAGUGGCGAAGGCGGCUCACUGGCCCGGUACUGACGCUGAGGUGCGAAAGCGUGGGGAGCAAACAGG